GAAUAUGAAGAUAUCACACUUCGCUCCUCCCUCCCCGCAUUCCUUUGCUUAUCCACUUUUGCGAAUAUAAAGUUUCUUACUGUAUAAAUUCUUACUUUCACAGGUAUUUUGCACUCAAAGAUGACGACAGAAAAUGCUAGUGACUUUGCAAAUAUAGAAAAGAGGUUCCUGCUGAGGAUCCUCAACUGUCUCACCAUCCCUUGUGUAUGUCUCCGAGGGAACUUCAGAGGAAGGCACACGGGAAGCGCCAAGAGAGAGGAUUAUCAGGGCUGUGGACAGCUACACUUUCCUCCAUCACAAGCUCAUCAGAAGGUAAAUCAAGGACUUGUGGGCAGCAGACGGCACCAGGACGAUCAUUACGGGAAGCAGGCGGCCCCGUGACAGGCGGCGGCGGCUGCUACUCACCGCCACGUCUAGCGAAAUCAGGGUGGGAUAUCAGAGGUUUUAGACGAUAUUUGGUUUGUGGGCCAAGAUUUAUUUUCAGUUGGUGAAGAAAAUCGUUUUAUAUUAUACACCGAUGAGCGUGCAAACACACUCACACACACACGCACACACACACACACACACACACACAUAGGUAAAAGUUUUUUGUUGUUUGAUAUUCACUUAUAUCCACAUGAAACCACCUUGCUGUUGCUGCUGCAAGCUUCCUACAUGUGUCUCUUCUAUUAAUUUUCCUCCAAUACUAUAGUUAUUGUCAAGUACUCUACUUCAGCCAAACAGCCUAAUGAAGAAACCGUCUGUUCCUGCAUUAUAUUUAAUUGAAUACGUCUCGCUAUUCACCUCUUCAUACUACCAACAUGUUUUCCUUUCUCUCAUAAUGUGGCUAGUUUUCCUUCUAACGACCUAAGUAAGAAGCUAAGUGUGUUAUUAUUUAAUAUCCACUCAUAUCCAUAUGAAUCCCUCUAGCCAUUGACCGCUACCUUCACUUUUGCAGCUUAAAUGGGAAAUCCAGUAUCUUGAAUUCUUAAUAGAGUAAAUGAUCAU